UAUUACCAAGGUGAAAAAGGGACUAUCGGGGAUGACUAGCCAAUGCAUCCAAAGGAGGUAUUUUAUACCAAAAUCGUAAUGAAUUAUUUAAUAAUUACGAUGAUCCUAAGGGAAACCAUAAUAAUAACAACUCUACGAACUGAAACAUCUAAGUAGUAGAAGGAAAAGAAAUCAACCGAGAUCCCGUUAGUAGUGGUGAGCGAAAGCGGGUUAGCCUAUUUUCUAAACUGAAAUUAUAAUUUGUUUGGAAUGACAAACCAUAGAGGGUGAAAGUCCCGUAAUAAUUGAGGUUAGAAAAAUAGUAAGUAAGAUGAGAGAUAACUUGUCUGAAGAUAGGGGAACCAUCCUCUAAGGCUAAAUAUGAUGCAUUGAGCGAUAGUGGAGAGUACCGUGAGGGAACGUUGAAAAGUAAGUAGAUAACUGGUGAAAAGAUCCUGAACCGGUAGUUCUAUAAGCAGCAGGAAUCUUUGUUUAAAUACAAGAUAACUGCGUACCUUUUGCAUAAUGGGUCAGCGAGUUAAUCUAUGGUGCAAGUAGAAAUACUUAGCGAAAGCGACUACGUUAAAUGGGCAAGUACCAUAGAUUAGACCCGAAACCAGGUGAUCUUACCAUGACCAAGUCAUUAAGGACUGAACCAGUGUUUGUGGCAAUAAACUUGGAUGAGUUGUGGUAAGGGGUGAAAGGCCAAUCUAACCUGGAGAUAGCUGGUAUUCCGCGAAACCUAUUUUGGUAGGUUGUCCUUCGUAUCUGUAAACUGGUACAGCACUGGAUACUAUGUCCCUCGUGGACUUGAUUGGGGGGUCGUGAUGGCUCUAUCAAUAGAAUCGAUUAUUUAAUCGAUUCCCAAACAUUAUAUGUUUGGGAAUCUAACCUCGGAAUGGUUUACAGUUAAUAAAGGACGGUCAGACUAUAGGUGCUAAGGUCUUUAGUCGAGAGGGAAACAGCCCAGAACAAGAACUAAGGUCCCCAAAUACUACUAAGUGAAAUUAAGGUAGUCCAUGAAAUUACACAACCAUUCGGUGGGCUUGGAAGCAGCCAUCCGUUAAUGAAAGCGUAAUAGCUCAAUGGUCUGUUAUUAUAAGUUUCAAGGGCACCGACAAUGUAUCGGGUCUAAGUAGUAUACCGAGGUCUUGUCCCAAUAUUCAUCAUAUUGGAGGGUAGCGGAACACUCAGGACAUGGUUGAAGGAUAGGGUUUCCUUAUCUGGACAUAACUGAGGAGAGAAUGCUGACAUGAGUAACGUAAAAGUGGGUAAGAUCCCACUCGCCGAAAGCAGAAGGGUUUCAUGGCUAGGCUCAACCUCCAUGAGUAAAGUAACGGCCUCUAAGGUUUUUAAAGCAAGGGACCCCAAAAGGGCCCAAGCAAGUUUAAAAUUUGUUUCAAAUUUUAAAUGAGAAUCAAGGGGAAACCCUUGAUUCUGGGGGGCCUCGGCCCCCUCGCUUCCGAUCCGAAAGGAUCGGGAGACUCAGGUUAUUUCAGUUUCUGAAAUAAACUGAGCUCAAAUGAGUGAACCCCGAUAGGGGUAACCGAUGAGAAAAACUGAUCUAGAUAACAGUCUUAAAUUUAUACGUAUCGGUAACGGUAUAGUCUUUUAAUUUAAGAUUCAGGAAAUGAUCUAGAUAAUUAACCGUACCCUAAACCGACACUGGUCUGCUGGUAGAGUAUACCAAGGCGUUGAGCGAAUCAUCUUGAAGGAACUCGGCAAAAUGACUCCGUAACUUCGGGAGAAGGAGUACGACUUUUAUGGUCGUGGCACAGAAUAGAAGAGUACGACUGUUUACUUAAAACACCGGUCUUUGCUAAUAGGAAACUAGAUGUAUAAAGACUGAUACCUGCUCAGUGCUGGUAAGUCAAGAGAGGUACUGUUAAGGUACCGAUUGAACCUCCAGUAAACAGCGGUUGUAACUAUAACGAUCCUCAGGUAGCGAAAUACCUUGGCCACUAAUUAUGGUCGCGCAUGAAUGGUUUAACGAUACUCUUACUGUCUCCAAGAUGAGCUCAGUGAAAUUGAAUUAUCCGUGCAGAUGCGGAUUACCAUUAGCUAGACGGGAAGACCCUAUGCAGCUUUACUGCAGUUAGUCAUUGUGUGCUUAUAAUUAAGGUGUAGAAUACAAGGGAGUCGAUUAGACACCAGUGAAAUACCUUGACUUAAUUAGGAGCACGCUAAACCAAAUUUUUGGGACAGUGAUUAAUGGGCAGUUUAUCUGGGGCGGAUUUCUCCCAUAUAGUACCGGAGAAGUACGAAGGUCGGCUUAAAUUGGAUGGAAACCAAUGGGCUAAAGAGAGCCUAAUUAAGUGUAAUGGCAUAAGCCGGCUUAACUGUAAGACUGACAAGUCAUACAGAUACGCAAGUAGGUCAUAGUGAUCCGGUGGUCCAUUAUGGAAUGGCCAUCGCUCAACGAAUAAAAGCUACGCUAGGGAUAACAGGCUGAUCAAUCUCGAGAGUCCAUAUUGACAGAUUGGUUUGGCACCUCGAUGUCGACUCAUCACAUCCUGGGGGUGUAGGCGCUCCCAAGGGUUCGGCUGUUCGCCGAGUAAAGUGGUACGUGAGUUGGGUUAAGUACGUCGUGAGACAGUACGGUUCCUAUCUACUAAUGGAAUUAGAAUCGGACAAGAACAUUACUCUAGUACGAGAGGACCGAGUGGUAUGAACCUCUGGUAUACCUGUUAUUGUUUACUACCUAUUUAUAGGUCUGUUACAGUACGGCAGGAAAGCUACGUUCAGAAAGGAUAACCGCUGAUAGCGUCUUAAGCGGGAAGCCCAUCUUGGCACGAUUCUUUAUUAGAGUGACUGUAGAUCACAGUCUUGAUAGGUUGCAGGUGUAAGCAUAGUAAUAUGUUAAGCUAGGCAAUACUAAAUUCUCAAGUAACUUGGUAAUA
rnacentral:rRNA from 1 species